AACCUGUCAUUAUGUCCUGACAGUAGAAUAUGAGAUAGAUAAUCCGUGAAAAAAUCAAGCUCCUCUGGCUCCUCCCAGUGGUCCUAUUGCCAUUUGCAGAAAUUCAUCCGCUCCCGGUAAGAAACAACCAAUCUAUUAAUUGUUUAUACUCGGACUAUUUUAGAUUGCUUCGGGGGCACCGCGGAGAAGUAACCCAGUACCGUUGUGAUUCUUCAUAGACAUAAACAGAGAGAAGUAGUUCCGGCUACGAUGUUCUUCCGCAAGACGCAAGCAGUUAUGUUUAUUAACCGCUAGAGCGUCAAAAGUAACCGACUGCAGCUUUAAAUGGACAGCUGUUGACAUUUAGUGUGAGUGUAGCACUAUAAAAUCAACGUGAAUAGCAUGGCACAGAUUAUUUAUUCUUUUUAUUCAAACUUAGCUAUCUUGAUAUCAUACAGUAGAAUUCUUCCUAAUCAAAACAAAGAUUGUGUGGAGUUGUUCAGCGGCCUCCCUGAGGUGAAAGGCCGACUGUGUUUGGUUUGAGUGAGAUGACCAGACAAUCAUACGAGCGUUGCGUUUAGAUAUGCAUGGACAUUUUAGAUGGUGGGAGAGUACGACAGGUUAGACGUCCACCUCUUCUCCUAUCAUGUGUCCUGAUCUCAUAAUAUUUAAACCUGUGAAACACUGCACAAGAUGCUAGGGUUAACAUGGAGUGCCAUCACUGAUAUGCCUGCUUGUUUGCCAUGGCUCAUGUGCCUGGAAUGUGUCGCUAAAAUGCAAGGAGGACACAACGGCAUUCCUUAUGGAAUUACAGAAAGAGGCUCCAAGCAAAUAUGCAGUCUUGAGACAGGGUGGAGUACUUUGCGGGUGUUUUUGUUCCAGACUCUUGUACAGAAUCAGAAAUGCAGACGCUAGUUUUUUAUGAGGCCUUUGAGCAGAAACAAAUCUCUUUGCUUUCUUCUGUGCCUUCAAUCCUAAUGUCGGAUUCCACUUUUGCAUAUUCAUAAAUCACUGCCUCAGUGAUUCCCCUCAUGCAGAACUGUCUGUGAUAGUCUGCCUCUCUACCUGUUUCUGGUUCACCUGCUGUUGACAAUCUCUGUAGGUUACAUAUUAACUGGGCUAAAUGAAAAGCUGUAUCUCUUCCUUCGGAAGCAGUCCCGCUCUUUUACCUUAAAACUGGAAGAUGAAGAGAAGAUUUAAAAAGAAGAGUGAAAUAUAUUUAUAUAUUUAAGAGAAACAAGAAGAUUUUAAGUACAGUGUAAUUAUUCAUUCUUUUUCUCUGGUUUUCUUAUUUCAUUCUGUUUAAAAGCUGUAGAUUGCUGUUUAUGAACCGUGAACAGACCUGUGGUGUUCUUAUUUGAAUGCAUUAAAUAAAUGAUUUGAUGUACAGAA